CAGCGUUCAUGUCGUAAUAGUUG
rnacentral:piRNA from 1 species